GUACUGCUGAAGAGUCUCACAAUAGAACGAAACGGACGUCCAGGGC
rnacentral:hammerhead_ribozyme from 1 species